rnacentral:rRNA from 1 species
UACGUAGGGUCCGAGCGUUGUCCGGAAUUAUUGGGCGUAAAGGGCUCGUAGGCGGUUUGUCGCGUCGGGAGUGAAAACACGGGGCUUAACCCCGUGCCUGCUUCCGAUACGGGCAGGCUAGAGGUAUGCAGGGGAGAACGGAAUUCCUGGUGUAGCGGUGAAAUGCGCAGAUAUUGGGAGGAACACCAGUGGCGAAGGCGGCUCACUGGACCGGUUCUGACGCUGAGGCGCGAAAGCGUGGGGAGCAAACGGG